UACCCACAACUCCCCGGGCUCGCGCGCCCUCUCCUUAUGCGCCUGCGCCCGCCAUAGUCCCACCCCCAAAUCCCGUGGGCCUCUGCGAGGUGGUAUUUAAGUAUGUCGCUACAGGCCUUCGGUCUCAUUUUUCCGCGGCGUUCGGGUUCGGGCGCACUUGGAACGCUGACGAAUGGAGAGGAGCCGACUUGUUAGGAUGUGGUUCAGCUCGAAAGACCUUACAGGCUGGAGGAUGGGACAAGACCUGUCGUGCAGCCUAGGCAUUACGGUAAUGCUCCAGCAUCUCAUCACUAGGCCUGAGGAAUCCACCUGCCUCCCAGGGUGAAUACAGGUUGUCCUGAUGGUGACACAUUCCUCUAUCUUAAAGCUCCAUGCCCAACGUGGGGCUCAAACUCAUGACCUCGAGUCGAAUGCUCCACCAACUGAGCCAGCCAGGCGUCUCUUGAUCAAUUUCUUGUAGAUGUUCAUUGAUGAUUCUGCCCAGGGUUGAGCUUUCGGAGAGCGUUAAGGAUGCCCCAGAGCCAGUAAUGGUGAACCCACUGGGGCUAACUGGGAGAAAGGAUGAGAAUUUGUUCGUAAGGAACUGUCUGAGGUACAGUGUAUGCCUGUCAGUAGCAUCUGCUUGGCUUUUCUUAGUUUAAAUCCAUUAAUCAUAGUUGGAAUGGAUGUGGCUGUUUUAGAUCCUUCACUUAAUUAUGUAAUCUUCUCUUUCAGGAGCAGCUUGUUCUGUGUGCUGCCCAAAAGCCUCCAGAGUUAACAGGUGCUGUUAACCCAUUAACCUGCUUGUUUGCGCAAAGGUCCAGUGCCUUGUGUGGAGCCCAAGAAUGAUUUGAGCAAUAGGGACCGGAGAUGUUUGAGAGGCUUAGUUCUCAAUCUUCUGCAGGAACCCUCAGCCGUUUUUCUGCUUAGCUCCAGUCUGAAGUCAGAGGUGUGAAAAAAGAACAAGGCCCAUAUCACAGGAAUCCACUUCAGGGAUACCAAAAGGAAGUCUUCAGGUCAUUUUUUGUACAACCUAGCUGUGGAAAUUAGCAUACAAUUGUUUUAGCCUUUCUAAAUAAAAGUUUAACCUUCA